rnacentral:rRNA from 1 species
AGUUUGAUCAUGGCUCAGAACGACGCUGGCGGCAUGCCUAACACAUGCAAGUCGAACGAAGGCUUCGGCCUUAGUGGCGCACGGGUGCGUAACGCGUGGGAACCUGCCCCUCGGUUCGGAAUAACAGUUAGAAAUGACUGCUAAUACCGGAUGAUGACUUCGGUCCAAAGAUUUAUCGCCGAGGGAUGGGCCCGCGUAGGAUUAGCUAGUUGGUGGGGUAAAGGCCUACCAAGGCGACGAUCCUUAGCUGGUCUGAGAGGAUGAUCAGCCACACUGGGACUGAGACACGGCCCAGACUCCUACGGGAGGCAGCAGUGGGGAAUAUUGGACAAUGGGCGAAAGCCUGAUCCAGCAAUGCCGCGUGAGUGAUGAAGGCCUUAGGGUUGUAAAGCUCUUUUACCAGGGAUGAUAAUGACAGUACCUGGAGAAUAAGCUCCGGCUAACUCCGUG